AUUGAACGCUGGCGGCAGGCUUAACACAUGCAAGUCGAGCGGGGAAAGGUAGCUUGCUACCUGACCUAGCGGCGGACGGGUGAGUAAUGCUUAGGAAUCUGCCUAUUAGUGGGGGACAACAUUCCGAAAGGAAUGCUAAUACCGCAUACGCCCUACGGGGGAAAGCAGGGGAUCUUCGGACCUUGCGCUAAUAGAUGAGCCUAAGUCAGAUUAGCUAGGUGGUGGGGUAAAGGCCUACCAAGGCGACGAUCUGUAGCGGGUCUGAGAGGAUGAUCCGCCACACUGGGACUGAGACACGGCCCAGACUCCUACGGGAGGCAGCAGUGGGGAAUAUUGGACAAUGGGCGGAAGCCUGAUCCAGCCAUGCCGCGUGUGUGAAGAAGGCCUUUUGGUUGUAAAGCACUUUAAGCGAGGAGGAGGCAACUUGGAUUAAUACUCUAGGAUAGUGGACGUUACUCGCAGAAUAAGCACCGGCUAACUCUGUGCCAGCCGCCGCAGUAA
rnacentral:rRNA from 1 species